rfam:Ictidomys tridecemlineatus contig013224, whole genome shotgun sequence.
AAGCAUUUUUGGUUCAAAAGAGUGAUGAUUGGGUGUUCCAGCUGGUGUGUGCUAGAUAUGUGCAUCUCUCCCUCUAAACCUUGUUAAGAUGUGGCACAUUGUCCAGCUGAAG